rnacentral:misc_RNA from 1 species
CCUCCUCGGUGCGCUGGGAAGAAUCAAUGCGCUACUUGCUUGCGCAAGGGUUCACGCGUUUCAUCGAACUGGGGCCCGGCGCCGCGCUGACCGGCUUCAUGAAAC